rnacentral:lncRNA from 1 species
UCAGUGUGAUGUGUACUCACAACCUCCAGGUUGCCUGGACGCUCUUGCUGCCCGAGACUGUGAGCCUUAAAAUUAUUCUCCUGGCAUGCGUGUGAUUUUUUUUUCCACCUUCAGAGAGGAAUCUGGCCCUUUUCAAUCUCAUCUGUUAAUGAUCACUGGUCCUUCUAUCUUAGCGUCUGUAAAAACAUUAAUUGGGCAGACCACAUACAGCUAGGUAGGGAACAGCACAGGUGUCCUGCUGUGGGUACAGAGAGAUGUGGAAGGCCAGUGGAGAAUGUGCUCAUUAUUUAAGGCUCACUGAUAAUCGCAGGAAUUCUGUCAUGGUUGCCAGUUUUUAGAUUUGUGUGUUGAAACAUCUUGAGCAAAAUGUUAGUGAGAGCAUUUCUGCAGCAUCCUGCUGACUGAAUUGCUGCCGCGUUUGCCAUCUGCCUGCAAGCUCACAGUGGUAAUUAUAGUGAGUCUUGCAAGUGCUGGAAUGGGAGGUAUGUCAAAUGCAUUUUCCUUCUUUUUGAAGGUAAUUUUCAUUUUCUCAACUCAUUUGAAACUGCAUAUGAUUAUCAGCUGCAGGUGUGAGAGCCACACAGAAGACAGACGUGUACACACCCACAGAGCAAGAUACCAACUCUGAGUGUCCAGAAGAGCUUACAUACUAAUCUUGGCACUUCUAAAUUAAAUGUAAUGCCGGAGAAAAUUCCCUCAUUACUGCUCCUGUCCUUGUGGAUAGAAUCUUAAUGUCUCUCUCUCUCUCGUUUUUUUUUUUUUUUUUUUUUUUUUUUUUUUUUUUUUUUUGUAAUUGUAUAAAAAACAUUUGAUUUGGGUGACAUUCACUGGAAUAAAAUGCACUGGAAUAGUAACACAUAUAUUAUAAAAGCUACUGAAAGUGGAAGUCACAUCCCAUUUGCUAAAACUUCCAGGGGUUUGAGUUUUAGCUGAGUUGCUGCCAUUAUAUAUGUCAGUUGUUUCAAAACCUUGCAGGGUUAAAAAGGAUUGUGGGGAGCAGGGAGAGGGAACUGAAGUAGGUGGUAUUAACAGCCUUCCUCUGGUUGCUGCAGGCAUUUCAUUUAGUUGCCAUUCAGAGCACCUGAUUGUAUUCUGCGUGGUCGGUGGAGAAAAGAGAGGAGAUUUGGAUCCAGCAUUGGACAUGAGAGCUGGUCCUAAGGGGCUGCUCCGGACCUUCAGGAGUCUGCCCGUCCUCAUGGGAAAGCCACUUCUCAGGCUUGUGGCUGGGAUUCACCUUGCAGAUGUAGAAGAGCAAGUGGGCAGAAGGAAGACUCACUUAUCACCAUGUAUCUUCUUUCACGAUCUGCUGGGAAAACUGGUGGGAGAGAGGCAUGAGUAG